GAUGAACGCUGGCGGCGUGCCUAAUACAUGCCAGUCGAGCGAACGGACGAGAAGCUUGCUUCUCUGAUGUUAGCGGCGGACGGGUGAGUAACACGUGGAUAACCUACCUAUAAGACUGGGAUAACUUCGGGAAACCGGAGCUAAUACCGGAUGAUAUUUUGAACCGCAUGGUUCAAAAGUGAAAGACGGUCUUGCUGUCACUUAUAGAUGGAUCCGCGCUGCAUUAGCUAGUUGGUAAGGUAACGGCUUACCAAGGCAACGAUGCAUAGCCGACCUGAGAGGGUGAUCAGCCACACUGGAACUGAGACACGGUCCAGACUCCUACGGGAGGCAGCAGUAGGGAAUCUUCCGCAAUGGGCGAAAGCCUGACGGAGCAACGCCGCGUGAGUGAUGAAGGUCUUCGGAUCGUAAAACUCUGUUAUUAGGGAAGAACAUAUGUGUAAGUAACUGUGCACAUCUUGACGGUACCUAAUCAGAAAGCCACGGCUAACUACGUG
rnacentral:rRNA from 1 species